rnacentral:rRNA from 2 species
ACGGGUGAGUAACGCGUGGGAACAUACCUUUUGGUUCGGAACAACACAGGGAAACUUGUGCUAAUACCGAAUAAGCCCUUACGGGGAAAGAUUUAUCGCCGAAAGAUUGGCCCGCGUCUGAUUAGCUUGUUGGUGAGGUAACGGCUCACCAAGGCGACGAUCAGUAGCUGGUCUGAGAGGAUGAUCAGCCACAUUGGGACUGAGACACGGCCCAAACUCCUACGGGAGGCAGCAGUGGGGAAUAUUGGACAAUGGGCGCAAGCCUGAUCCAGCCAUGCCGCGUGAGUGAUGAAGGCCCUAGGGUUGUAAAGCUCUUUUGUGCGGGAAGAUAAUGACGGUACCGCAAGAAUAAGCCCCGGCUAACUUCGUGCCAGCAGCCGCGGUAAUACGAAGGGGGCUAGCGUUGCUCGGAAUCACUGGGCGUAAAGGGUGCGUAGGCGGGUCUUUAAGUCAGAGGUGAAAGCCUGGAGCUCAACUCCAGAACUGCCUUUGAUACUGAGGAUCUCGAGUUCGGGAGAGGUGAGUGGAACUGCGAGUGUAGAGGUGAAAUUCGUAGA